GGCGGAUCGGAGGGAAGUCUGGGCUUACU
rnacentral:piRNA from 1 species